AAGGAUCAUUAUUGAAUACGAUUGGUACUGAUGCUGGCUCUUCACUGAGCAUGUGCUCGUCCAUCUAUUUAUCUUCUCUUGUGCCCAUCUUGUAGUCUUGAAUGAAACCUCUCGCAGUCAAUGCGGUUUGGGAGAUUGUUAGCCCUUCUCCUGCUUCUUCAAGGCUAUGUUUUCAUAUACACUAUAAAGUUACAGAAUGUCUUUUAACGAUUGUGCUUGUCACAGUCAUUAAACCUUAUACAACUUUCAGCAACGGAUCUCUUGGCUCUCCUAUCGAUGAAGAACGCAGCGAAAUGCGAUAAGUAAUGUGAAUUGCAGAAUUCAGUGAAUCAUCGAAUCUUUGAACGCACCUUGCGCCCUUUGGUAUUCCGAAGGGCAUGCCUGUUUGAGUGUCAUUAAAUUAUCAACCUUGCUCUCUUUUGAGUUCAAGGCUUGGAUGUGAGGGUUUUUGCUGGCUUCCUUCAGUGGAUGGUCUGCUCCCUUUAAAUGCAUUAGUGGGAUCUCUUGUGGACCGUCACUUGGUGUGAUAAUUAUCUAUGCCAUUUUGACCUCAAAUCAGGUAGGACUACCCGCUGAACUUAA
rnacentral:rRNA from 1 species